UUAUCACGGUCCGUAGGAACUGCGGAAGGAUCAUUAAAGAGUAAGGGUGCUCAGCGCCCGACCUCCAACCCUCUGUUGUUAAAACUACCUUGUUGCUUUGGCGGGACCGCUCGGUCUCGAGCCGCUGGGGAUUCGUCCCAGGCGAGCGCCCGCCAGAGUUAAACCAAACUCUUGUUAUAUAAACCGGUCGUCUGAGUUAAAAUUUUGAAUAAAUCAAAACUUUCAACAACGGAUCUCUUGGUUCUCGCAUCGAUGAAGAACGCAGCGAAAUGCGAUAAGUAAUGUGAAUUGCAGAAUUCAGUGAAUCAUCGAAUCUUUGAACGCACAUUGCGCCCCUUGGUAUUCCGAGGGGCAUGCCUGUUCGAGCGUCAUUACACCACUCAAGCUAUGCUUGGUAUUGGGCGUCCGUCCCUUCGGGGGCGCGCCUUAAAGACCUCGGCGAGGCCUCACCGGCUUUAGGCGUAGUAGAAUUUAUUCGAACGUCUGUCAAUGGAGAGGACUUCUGCCGACUGAAACCUUUUAUAUUUUUCUAGGUUGACCUCGGAUCAGGUAGGGAUACCCGCUGAACUUAAGCAUAUCAAUAACCGGGAGGAAAGGACUCCCGCUGAACUUACGGAGGAAA
rnacentral:rRNA from 1 species